rnacentral:miRNA from 1 species
UCCAUUUUUUGAGACAAAGCAUUACUCUCUAGCCAUGACUGGUCUGGAACUGGCUAUGUAGACUGGAUUGACCUCAAAUUUCCAACAAUCCUCCUGUCUC